UACAAACAUGUAAAAAAAAGGAAAAAAAA
rnacentral:sRNA from 1 species